GACGAACGCUGGCGGCGUGCUUAACACAUGCAAGUCGAACGGAAAGGCCCUGCUUUUGUGGGGUGCUCGAGUGGCGAACGGGUGAGUAACACGUGAGUAACCUGCCCCUGCCCCCGGCAUACCUUCCGGAAACUCGGGCUAAUACCGGAUCGGAGCUCCUCCUGCACGGUCGGGGUUGGCAAGUUUCGGCGGUUGGGGAUGGACCCGCGGCCUCUCAGCUUGUGGGUGGGGUAGUGGCCUACCACGGCUUUGCCGGGUAGCCGGCCUGCGAGGGGGACCGGCCACAUUGGGACUGAGAUGCGGCCCAGACUCCUACGGGAGGCAGCAGUGGGGAAUAUUGCAGAAUGGGCGGAAGCCUGAUGCAGGAACGCCGCGUGCGGGAUGACGGCCGUCGGGUUGUAAGCCGCUUUCGCCUGUGACGAAGCGUGAGUGACGGUAAUGGGUAAAGAAGCACCGGCUAACUACGUG
rnacentral:rRNA from 1 species